rnacentral:lncRNA from 1 species
CCUUUUACAUACUCAACCUUUGAACCGCAACCCUAAUCCCUAACAAUCAAGGAUGAUGAUGGUGGUUAUGACAGUGGUUCUGGUUGUAAUGUUACAGUGACUAAUGUUUAGAUCGAAGGUGAUGGUGUCGUGAAGGAGGGUGUGCGGGAGAGGUGGUUGUUGACGGUGGGUAAGAGCUGUGGAGGUUUUCGUCAACUUCCUCUAUUCCAUUCGCAUCCUACCAACGAGACAAAGAAGCAAAAAGGCAGAAAAUAUGGAGAAGCGUAUGCAGACCGAGUGUAAGGAGUGUAAUGAUGCAAUGUUAAGGAGAAAAAUGGAUUCGCCUUUGCCUGAGACAAGGGGCGUAUGCCUUUCUGAAGAGCUGACCGUUGCAACUGUACGCCUUUUAAAAACUUAAUAGUUGAUAGAAUGAUACUUGUUAUUUGUUACUUCGCUU